rnacentral:rRNA from 1 species
UACGUAGGGGGCAAGCGUUGUCCGGAAUCAUUGGGCGUAAAGAGCGUGUAGGCGGCCAGAUAAGUCCGCUGUGAAAUCUCGAGGCUCAACUUCGAGCUGUCGGUGGAAACUGUCUGGCUAGAGUCCGGAAGAGGAGAAUGGAAUUCCUGGUGUAGCGGUGAAAUGCGCAGAUAUCAGGAGGAACACCGGUGGCGAAGGCGGAUCUCUGGGCCAUUACUGACGCUGAGGAGCGAAAGCGUGGGGAGCGAACAGG